rnacentral:rRNA from 1 species
AUACGAAGGUCCCAAGCGUUAUUCGGAAUCACUGGGCGUAAAGAGUACGUAGGCGGUUUGGUAAGUCAGGUGUGAAAUCCCGGAGCUCAACUCCGGAACUGCAUCCGAUACUGCCAGACCUGAGUAAUGGAGAGGCAGGUGGAAUUCUCGGUGUAGCAGUGAAAUGCGUGGAUAUCGAGAGGAAGACCAAUGGCGAAGGCAGCCUGCUGGACAUUUACUGACGCUGAGGUACGAAGGCUAGGGGAGCGAAAGGGAUUAGAAACCCCAGUAGUCC